rnacentral:rRNA from 1 species
GGUUAAGUUAGAAAGGGCGCACGGUGGAUGCCUUGACACUAGGAGUCGAUGAAGGACGGGACUAACGCCGAUAUGCUUCGGGGAGCUGUAAGUAAGCUUUGAUCCGAAGAUUUCCGAAUGGGGAAACCCACCAUACGUAAUGGUAUGGUAUCCUUAUCUGAAUACAUAGGGUAAGGAAGACAGACCCAGGGAACUGAAACAUCUAAGUACCUGGAGGAAGAGAAAGCAAAUGCGAUUUCCUGAGUAGCGGCGAGCGAAACGGAACAUAGCCCAAACCAAGAGGCUUGCCUCUUGGGGUUGUAGGACAUUCUAUACGGAGUUACAAAGGAACGAGGUAGACGAAGCGACCUGGAAAGGUCCGUCGUAGAGGGUAACAACCCCGUAGUCGAAACUUCGUUCUCUCUUGAAUGUAUCCUGAGUACGGCGGAACACGUGAAAUUCCGUCGGAAUCUGGGAGGACCAUCUCCCAAGGCUAAAUACUCCCUAGUGAUCGAUAGUGAACCAGUACCGUGAGGGAAAGGUGAAAAGCACCCCGGAAGGGGAGUGAAAGAGAUCCUGAAACCGUGUGCCUACAAAUAGUCAGAGCCCGUUAACGGGUGAUGGCGUGCCUUUUGUAGAAUGAACCGGCGAGUUACGAUCCCGUGCGAGGUUAAGCUGAAGAGGCGGAGCCGCAGCGAAAGCGAGUCUGAAUAGGGCGUUUAGUACGUGGUCGUAGACCCGAAACCAGGUGAUCUACCCAUGUCCAGGGUGAAGUUCAGGUAACACUGAAUGGAGGCCCGAACCCACGCACGUUGAAAAGUGCGGGGAUGAGGUGUGGGUAGCGGAGAAAUUCCAAUCGAACCUGGAGAUAGCUGGUUCUCCCCGAAAUAGCUUUAGGGCUAGCCUUAAGUGUAAGAGUCUUGGAGGUAGAGCACUGAUUGGACUAGGGGUCCUCAUCGGAUUACCGAAUUCAGUCAAACUCCGAAUGCCAAUGACUUAUCCUUAGGAGUCAGACUGCGAGUGAUAAGAUCCGUAGUCAAAAGGGAAACAGCCCAGACCGCCAGCUAAGGUCCCAAAGUGUGUAUUAAGUGGAAAAGGAUGUGGAGUUGCUUAGACAACUAGGAUGUUGGCUUAGAAGCAGCCACCAUUUAAAGAGUGCGUAAUAGCUCACUAGUCGAGUGACUCUGCGCCGAAAAUGUACCGGGGCUAAAUACACCACCGAAGCUGCGGAUUGAUACCGAAUGGUAUCAGUGGUAGGGGAGCGUUCUAAGGACAGUGAAGUCAGACCGUAAGGACUGGUGGAGUGCUUAGAAGUGAGAAUGCCGGUAUGAGUAGCGAAAGACGGGUGAGAAUCCCGUCCACCGAAUGCCUAAGGUUUCCUGAGGAAGGCUCGUCCGCUCAGGGUUAGUCAGGACCUAAGCCGAGGCCGACAGGCGUAGGCGAUGGACAACAGGUUGAUAUUCCUGUACCACCUCUUUAUCGUUUGAGCAAUGGAGGGACGCAGAAGGAUAGAAGAAGCGUGCGAUUGGUUGUGCACGUCCAAGCAGUUAGGCUGAUAAGUAGGCAAAUCCGCUUAUCGUAAAGGCUGAGCUGUGAUGGGGAAGCUCCUUAUGGAGCGAAGUCUUUGAUUCCCCGCUGCCAAGAAAAGCUUCUAGCGAGAUAAAAGGUGCCUGUACCGCAAACCGACACAGGUAGGCGAGGAGAGAAUCCUAAGGUGUGCGAGAGAACUCUGGUUAAGGAACUCGGCAAAAUGACCCCGUAACUUCGGGAGAAGGGGUGCUUUCUUAACGGAAAGCCGCAGUGAAUAGGCCCAAGCGACUGUUUAGCAAAAACACAGCUCUCUGCGAAGCCGUAAGGCGAAGUAUAGGGGGUGACACCUGCCCGGUGCUGGAAGGUUAAGGAGAGGGGUUAGCGUAAGCGAAGCUCUGAACUGAAGCCCCAGUAAACGGCGGCCGUAACUAUAACGGUCCUAAGGUAGCGAAAUUCCUUGUCGGGUAAGUUCCGACCCGCACGAAAGGUGUAACGAUUUGGGCACUGUCUCAACCAGAGACUCGGUGAAAUUAUAGUACCUGUGAAGAUGCAGGUUACCCGCGACAGGACGGAAAGACCCCGUGGAGCUUUACUGUAGCCUGAUAUUGAAUUUUGGUACAGUUUGUACAGGAUAGGCGGGAGCCAUUGAAACCGGAGCGCUAGCUUCGGUGGAGGCGCUGGUGGGAUACCGCCCUGACUGUAUUGAAAUUCUAACCUACGGGUCUUAUCGACCCGGGAGACAGUGUCAGGUGGGCAGUUUGACUGGGGCGGUCGCCUCCUAAAGUGUAACGGAGGCGCCCAAAGGUUCCCUCAGAAUGGUUGGAAAUCAUUCGUAGAGUGCAAAGGCAUAAGGGAGCUUGACUGCGAGACCUACAAGUCGAGCAGGGACGAAAGUCGGGCUUAGUGAUCCGGUGGUUCCGCAUGGAAGGGCCAUCGCUCAACGGAUAAAAGCUACCCCGGGGAUAACAGGCUUAUCUCCCCCAAGAGUCCACAUCGACGGGGAGGUUUGGCACCUCGAUGUCGGCUCAUCGCAUCCUGGGGCUGUAGUCGGUCCCAAGGGUUGGGCUGUUCGCCCAUUAAAGCGGUACGCGAGCUGGGUUCAGAACGUCGUGAGACAGUUCGGUCCCUAUCCGUCGUGGGCGUAGGAAAUUUGAGAGGAGCUGUCCUUAGUACGAGAGGACCGGGAUGGACGCACCGCUGGUGUACCAGUUGUUCUGCCAAGGGCAUAGCUGGGUAGCUAUGUGCGGAAGGGAUAAGUGCUGAAAGCAUCUAAG